AAGUCAUAAUAGUUUUGACUGGAACUAUACUUGCUAGUGCCCAAGCUUCUUCAGCAAAUGGGUGGACAAGAGUUAUUGUUGAGAAGCCAUUUGGCCCUGAUUCCAAGUCAUUUUCCGAACUUACUAGAUGUCUAAAGCAGCACUUAGCAGAGGACCAUAUAUUCAGAGGUAUACUCUACAACAUUCCUUUUUAAUAAGAUGAACUUAUGAAGCUCUGGAGUUUCCAUUUUUUAACUUUCACCAGGGUUGAUCAUCAUUUGGGCAAAGAUAUAGUUGAUAAAAUGCUAGCUAUUUACUGGGAAAUAUCUAGUACUGGGACAGGAGAAAACACUAGUACUAAGAAAUAAAUUUACAUUGUGCUUUUGUAUUAGACAUCAAAAUAAGAGGUAAGACUGGAGAAUUAAUCACGAGUCUAUCUACUAAUUAUCCCAGGAGUAAGGCUAGAAUUUUUCAUUAGAAAUAUAUAUUUUAGUGACCUUGAUUGAGAAUCUAAUUUUCAUUCUUUCUCUUAUAUGUUAUUCAUACCGUAAUCUGACCAUCUGAUAUGUAGUUUCGCUUUGGCAUGAAAACUUCGGGCUACCUCCAUGUGGCCAGCACUUCCUCUUUCUGCAAAGAUAUAUCGAAAACAGGAGUUUUAGAAGAUAUGUUUCCGGACUGUCACCAAGGAAAUUUAUAAUCCAUGGAAAAAGCUAGGAUAUCUGAAUUUCUAAAUUUUAGCCCUAGCUAAAGAGAGAUUCAUUAUCAGCCCUGUUUGCCAAUCUCGGUUUUAGAUUUUGAAGUUUAUAUUUGUUAGAAUUUUUUAGAAACCACAUAUAAUGUGCGCUUCUUUUAUAGAAGUUGGUCUGUUACAAAAUAUUUUUCACUAGAUCGCUGGAUGUAUCUCUUGGUUUCUUGCUUUUAAUUAAGCCCUGUGAUAUUAUGUUUCUAUCAUACUUUGAUGAGAUGCAGGUACUUAAUUCAGUUGAGCCCAGUUGGGAACAGUUUCUUGAACAGACCAACUCAGCACUAGCUGAAAGUUGAGAAAUAUAGCAAAGAAGUUAAAGAAGAAUAUUUCUUCCAUAGCUUUCCUCUGGUUAAUGAAGCUAUUGGUCAAGCUAUGAAGCCUGUUGGAGCCUCCCAUCCUGUGAAGCUUAUCACUUAUGUUCCAGAUGCACAUGAGGAUGAUGAAUAACACCCUCCUGAAUGUGGAUGGAUUACAAGACGGAAGCAUUCAUUAUUGUACUAGCAUUGGCUUGUGGGAGUGGUUGCACGUUGAAAAUCAAUAUAUGGAUGUAGUACAUACUUGAUAUUUAGAUUAGAGGGAUGUGUAGUAGUUGAUCGAUAUUGGAUUUGAUGGAUGUGAUAUUGGAUUUGAUGGAUGUUUAGUAGGUGAGAUUGGAAUUUGAUGGAUGUAUAGAGUACAAUUGGUUUAUAUAUGCAUUAAUAAGAUUUAGUUGUUGAUUU